rnacentral:rRNA from 1 species
UCCUACGGGAGGCAGCAGUGGGGAAUCUUGCACAAUGGAGGAAACUCUGAUGCAGCGAUGCCGCGUGAGUGAAGAAGGCCCUUGGGUUGUAAAGCUCUUUCGUCGGGGAAGAAAAUGACUGUACCCGAAUAAGAAGGUCCGGCUAACUUCGCGCCAGCAGCCGCGGUAAUACGAAGGGACCUAGCGUAGUUCGGAAUUACUGGGCUUAAAGAGUUCGUAGGUGGUUGAAAAAGUUAGUGGUGAAAUCCCAGAGCUUAACUCUGGAACUGCCAUUAAAACUUUUCAGCUAGAGUAUGAUAGAGGAAAGCAGAAUUUCUAGUGUAGAGGUGAAAUUCGUAGAUAUUAGAAAGAAUACCAGUGGCGAAGGCGGCCUCCUGGAUCUGUACUGACACUGAGGUGCGAAAGCGUGGGUAGCGAACAGGAUUAGAUACCCUGGUAGUCCACGCCGUAAACGAUGACGACUAGCUGUUGGGAGACAAUGUCUUUCAGUGGCGUAGCUAACGUUUUAAGUUGUCCGCCUGGGGAGUACGGCCGCAAGGCUAAAACUCAAAUGAAUUGACGGA